ACUCUUCAGCUACACACUCAAAAUCAUGUACUUCCAGGGCAUAAUAUAAGUAGGCAUUUUGGGACAGAGCACAGAGGACCCUGGAAAUUAAUGAUGUGGAACCACAAUGUUUUUGAGACGCUGAUGGGCCUCGUCUUCAUGUUGUGAAAUUUCUGUCAUUAGACAAAGCGCCUGGUGACUUGAAAGUUUGUGCUGCUGGUGUCGGGGUCUGUGCCCGGGGGUUACGUUCUGUCUGCAUAAUUGAUUAGACCACUAGAGGGUCGCUGAAGUGAUAAUGAUAGCAACAAAAACCUUUUAUUUGCAUUUUUAUGAUUCAUAUUUCAGCAGAAGUAUCUUCUGAACAUUGACAUGGAAAUGUACACUUUGAAUAAAUAUGCAUGAUGUCAGUGACAUUGAAAAAGUGAAGUUUUAGGCAUGAAAAUCAUUGUCAUUUAGAAACCAGCAUAACACAAUGUGUGUUUAAUGAGAUUGAUUAGAUAAAGGGAAACGGGUAGAUAGGGAACAAAAGACAAAGAGUUAAAAAAGAGUGAAGGAUAGAAAAAAAAAGAGACACAGUGAGCUCUAGAAUAUUCCAUCACACUAUAGAAAUGAGUCCAUAGGUGUGCAUCGUAUAAUUGCACUUUAAUAAGUUGUUACUCUGUGGGACUGUAUAGAGCAUUUGCAAGUUAAUAAGUGGCUCUACGGUCUUUUCACAGUCCAAUCUCUUUGCCUUUAUUCCAGACACAAGAAUGGGGGAUACAGGGAGAUUUCCUCAUAAUGCGCUUCACUUGUUUUAUUUGACAUGACAUCCGUUCGAAUCAGGUCUGUCACAAUUCAAUUCCCCCACUUAUAUUUAUCCAUUUGGCUCCAUAACUUCACACCCAGCACAGUAUCUGUGUGCUUAAUCAACAGCUCAGAUUUAUUACAUCAUCUGCCAGGCAGUCUUUCCACUCACCUGUUUCUGUUAAGGCUGUGGCUGAAGUUUGGAUAUUAUAAGUUUGUACCCUUGCCCAUUCUUAAAGGGAUAGUCCACACAGAAAAUUUAUUUACUCACCC
ensembl:lncRNA